rnacentral:rRNA from 1 species
CCUACGGGAGGCAGCAGUGGGGGAUAUUGCACAAUGGGGGGAACCCUGAUGCAGCGACGCCGCGUGGGUGAAGAAGCGCCUCGGCGCGUAAAGCCCUGUCAGCAGGGAAGAAAAUGACGGUACCUGAAGAAGAAGCGCCGGCUAACUACGUGCCAGCAGCCGCGGUAAUACGUAGGGGGCAAGCGUUAUCCGGAUUUACUGGGUGUAAAGGGGGCGCAGACGGCGAUGCAAGCCAGGAGUGAAAGCCCGGGGCCCAACCCCGGGACUGCACAUGGAACUGCGUGGCUGGAGUGCAGGAGGGGCAGGCGGAAUGCGUGGGGUAGGGGUGAAAGGAGUAGAUAUCGGGAGGAACACGGGUGGGGAAGGCGG